ACGAACCACAGCCUCUUCAACGAGUUUAAGAGCCGCAAAAAAUACUCCUUCAAAUCUCUCUUUCUUGCUCGCUGGCUCUUAAUUUACUCAAGCACAAAUUUCAAGUCUUUCCUCGAAAUGCCCUUAGCCGAUCGGUCUUGAACCUGAGUGCCCAUCAAUUUUGUGAAAUGGCAGCAGACGGUGCAAAGAGCUUUGCAAGGAGGGAUCGUCUCUUGGAGAUCGAGCAGAAGGUUCGAGGCUGGUGGGAGGAGAAAGAUGUUUUCAGGGCUGAA
rnacentral:misc_RNA from 1 species